CCCACUGAAUUUAAGCACACUAGUUAGUGGAGAAGAAACUUAACAAGGAUUCCCUCAGUAACAGCAAGUGAACAUGGAAGAGCCCAGUGCUAAACCUCUGCCCCACAGUGGGGGUGCUGGAAAUGUGGCAUAGAGAAGACCCACUCCCCACUGCUGCUUAUAGCACCCAAGUCCUUCUGAUUAAGGCCCAGCCUGAUGAUGGUAUGAGGCCAGCAGCAGGCUCUGAUGCACUGGGCCUGGGCGUUAUUGGGGCCAUGUUGCUUGAGAAUGUACCCCAAAGUGGGUAGUAAACUCCAUCUACUAAGGCUAAAUACCUGCACAAAAUUGAUAGUCAACAAGAACCAUAAGGGAAAGUUAAAAAGAU
rnacentral:ncRNA from 1 species